GCAUAUCAAUAAGCGGAGGAAAAGAAACCAACAGGGAUUGCCCUAGUAACGGCGAGUGAAGCGGCAACAGCUCAAAUUUGAAAUCUGGAUUCCUUGACUGGGUCCCGAGUUGUAAUUUGCAGAGGGUGCUUUGGCGUGGGCGGCGGUCUAAGUUCCUUGGAACAGGACGUCACAGAGGGUGAGAAUCCCGUACGUGGCUGCACUGCCCGCGCCGUGUAAAGCCCCUUCGACGAGUCGAGUUGUUUGGGAAUGCAGCUCUAAAUGGGAGGUAAAUUUCUUCUAAAGCUAAAUACUGGCCAGAGACCGAUAGCGCACAAGUAGAGUGAUCGAAAGAUGAAAAGCACUUUGGAAAGAGAGUCAAACAGCACGUGAAAUUGUUGAAAGGGAAGCGCUUGCAGCCAGACUUGCCUGCGGUUGCUCAGCCGGGCCUCGUGCCCGGUGCACUCUUCCGCGGGCAGGCCAGCAUCAAUUUGGGCGGCUGGAGAAUGGCCUCUGUCACGUACUACCCUUCGGGGUAGCCUUAUAGGGGAGUCGUCAUGCAGUCAGCCUGGAUUGAGGACCGCGCUUCGGCGAGGAUGCUGGCGUAAUGGCCGCAAGCGGCCCGUCUUGAAACACGGACCAAGGAGUCUAACAUCUAUGCGAGUGUUUGGGUGUCAAGCCCGGGCGCGCAAUGAAAGUGAACGGAGGUGGGAACCCCCUUGGGGCGCACCAUCGACCGAUCCUGAUGUCUUCGGAUGGAUUUGAGUAAGAGCAUAGCUGUUGGGACCCGAAAGAUGGUGAACUAUGCUUGAAUAGGGUGAAGCCAGAGGAAACUCUGGUGGAAGCUCGCAGCGGUUCUGACGUGCAAAUCGAUCGUCAAAUUUGGGGCAUAGGGGCGAAAGACUAAUCGAACUAUCUAGUAGCUGGUUCCUGCGA
rnacentral:rRNA from 1 species